rnacentral:rRNA from 1 species
AGCAGCCGCGGUAAUUCCAGCUCCAAUAGCGUAUAUUAAAGUUGUUGCAGUUAAAAAGCUCGUAGUUGAAUUUCGGGAUCAAUAUGUCGGUCGUGCCUUCGGUACGUACUGGUAUCAUUGGUCUCUCCUUUCUGACGAACCAUGAUGUCAUUAAUUUGGUGUUAUGGGGAGUUAGGACUGUUACUUUGAAAAAAUUAGAGUGUUUAAAGCAGGCUUUAGCCUGAAUACAUUAGCAUGGAAUAAUGAGGUAGGACGUUCGAACCUAUUUUGUUGGUUUCUAGGAUCAACGUAAUGAUUAAUAGGGAUAGUUGGGGGCAUUAGUAUUCAAUUGUCAGAGGUGAAAUUCUUGGAUUUAUUGAAGACUAACUACUGCGAAAGCAUUUGCCAAGGAUGUUUUCAUUAAUCAAGAACGAAAGUUAGGGGAUCGAAGACGAUCAGAUACCGUCGUAGUCUUAACCAUAAACUAUGCCGACUAGGGAUCGGAUGAUGUUAAUUUUUAAUGACUCAUUCGGCGCCUUAA